UGCACUAAGUUUAUUCUUUUAAAGUAUAUUAUUUCCAUAAUAAGUAACUUUUUAAAGGUAUGAUAAAAUUUACUUAGUAAAAACUAGAUAUUAAUAAAAUAGUUUAUUGUGCAUGUUAAUAUGUUUUAAUAAAUUCAGGGUUUUUUACAUAACUUCUCACAAUUGCCUUGACCUCAUUCAUAAAAUUUUGCAAAACAAAAAUACCAUAUUUUAAUACCUAGUUUCACUUACCAAGUGAAGCAUUUUGUCAAAUAGAUAGAUAUCUCCUACUGAGCAUGUGUUGAAUAAGUGUCAUCACUCUGGCUUAUUUGUAAUUGAAGAAAUUUAGUGUUACAAAUUGUCCCCUGUUGCAAUUGCCCCCAGUCUCUCAUAUGCUUCAUUUUCUGGAUUAAUGACACGCAAAGAUAAACAUGCAUACACAAAUUGUUUAAGUGUGUUUUGACUUUUCCCAGCUUGGGAACCUCAGAGCCGUGCGGUGAUGAUGCUGCAUUAUCUUCUGCUCUCAGGAGACAUGCACGACCGAACAUGUUGAAUGUCUUUCGGUAACACGUCAGAAGAUCUGUCUGGAAGUCAUUGAUAUGAUGGAUAGCACUGUACGAGCUUUGAGAACGGCAAAUUUACGGAAAAAAUGUGUCUGUGUGACUGUUUGAGCUCACCAAGACAUAAACCCUUCUGCUGGACAUCUUUUAUCCCGAGCUGUAUCCUGAAAUCUGUCGUGAGAAAAUGGGGCGAUCACUCAAAACAGAAGUUCCUGCUUCUACUGAGGGACGAAAAUCCAGAACGAGCCCAGCACACCUUGUAGGCCUCUGUUUGACUUCCUGUUUAAUGUUCAGCGGACAGGUGACAACUGAACUCCAUCCACUCGCCCUGUUAAUUUAGAGCCUCUUCCUUUAGGAGCAGAUUGGCUAAAAUAGGAUUUGUGUUGUUUAAAGGAAACGUGACUUUAUUCCACAUCUUCAGGCUCAAAGUGGUCUGUUGGGAAGUUUGGGGUUGGGAAUAUUUGUAAAGGUUUUUGAAAGAAGAAUGUCAUGCUCUCAAAGGCUGAAUUUACUUGAUCAAAU